CCUACGGGAGGCAGCAGUGGGGAAUAUUGGACAAUGGGGGGAACCCUGAUCCAGCGACGCCGCGUGAGUGAAGAAGUAUUUCGGUAUGUAAAGCUCUAUCAGCAGGGAAGAAAGAAAUGACGGUACCUGACUAAGAAGCCCCGGCUAACUACGUGCCAGCAGCCGCGGUAAUACGUAGGGGGCAAGCGUUAUCCGGAUUUACUGGGUGUAAAGGGAGCGUAGACGGCGAUGCAAGUCUGAUGUGAAAACCCGGGGCCCAACCCCCGGAGUGCAUUUGAAACUGCCAUGCUGGAGUGCCGGAGAGGUAAGCGGAAUUCCUAGUGUAGCGGUGAAAUGCGUAGAUAUUAGGAGGAACACCAGUGGCGGAGGCGGCUUACUGGACGGUAACUGACGCUGAGGCUCGAAAGCGUGGGGAGCAAACAGGAUUAGAUACCCCGGUAGUC
rnacentral:rRNA from 1 species